UUGAGCAGCGGUCCAACAAAAAUAUCCCCACUAUGAGAUAGGACAGCCAAAGCAGAGAGAUUGCAAAGUGGUCACAGUUGAGAGCGGACAGAUGAUUACUGGUGACUUGACUUGUGUGAUAUGAGUGAAACUGUAAACCUCUUUAGGUUGAACACACAACUGCCACAAUUCUGAUUCUGGAAUAUCUCAAAAGAACUAGAAGACACACAGAACUAAGCAACCAAAUACAGCAGAUUCACACUCAAUUCUCCUACUCCACCGAUACAUCUAAAGACCCCAUCCCAGCUGACUCUCUGGUUCAUCGGCUGAUAACGCAAACUUGCCUAAGUGUAAGGAGAGGAAAUUUCACAUUAUGAGCAAGCUUCAGCUUAUCAACAUGGUGUCUACCCAUGUGCGAGACCAGCUGCAUUCUGAAAACCAUUACCAACAAGCACGUUAUCAGGAGAAGCCAGGUGACGGCUAAAUGUCUGAAAUCCAAAUUUCUGAGUGGACCAAGCAAGCCUUCCGUCCAUAUACCAGUUUUUGAGUUUCAAUCCAAGACCGGCCUAGUGUCAGUGGUGACGUAUGGCUAUGUAGUGCAAAUUCAUCACUGAGAGACGGCUAAUUAACCCCUGGUCAAUAAGAUGCAGGUAAAUGGUUGAUUAUUCUCUUGUGUACAUGAAUGAUGAGAGCUUGAUUUGCCCGUUCCCCAGAUAAUAGGGCUCGUUGGAGACUAAUUGAGCCGUAGAGUGAUGCGUCUGCAAUGCAUUAAUACAUCAAAUCCAGACAGGCUACUCCACUCAGGAGGAGGAGAGAAGAGGAUAUCAAAGACUAGUUCAAUUUUGAUUUGUUCAGACAUAAAUAUUUUUCUGGCAGAGGUUUGUGAUUUGUCAAGUGGUGAAACCUGGUAUCAUGUACUCACCCUGUAGAAGGAGUCAUGAUGCAGCCGCCACGAUCUACAGUCAUCGUACAGCCGCAUCCUCGCUCUGGUGUGUCGUGGUUCAUACCAAAGUUAUGGCCCAACUCAUGAGCCAAAGUCACAGCAGCUCCCAGAGGAUUGUCUGAGUGGUCCUAGGAAACAACAGGAUGUCAAAUCAUAUAUUGAAGUACUCGAGCUGCAUUUAUUUUCAUAGUUUUCUGAUGUCUAUUACUUUGCACACUGAUGUACCAAAAAUGUACCACUAAAAACAUACCUGUCUCAUGAGGAGCAUUAGAAUCCAAAUAAUGCUCGACUAUUUUGAUGGCAAAAAAAAAAAAAAACCUUAGGUGUGUGUGUGAUAUUUAUAUAUAUAACCUUUGAUAAAUCUGUAAUAGUUGUUUAAAUCUAAUAUAUUGCAGAAACCAAACAAAGCACGCCUUGACUGAUCUUGAUGUAGGUUAGACUACUGCAAGCACAUUUAGUGUUAAGGCUUGCACUGUUUAGUUUAUUAAAGGGGUCAUAUGAUGCUUUUUUAAAGAUCAUUAUUUUGUGUAUUUGGUGCAACAGUAUAUCAUGACAUGCUUUAAUGUUAAAAAAAACAUUAUUUUAUUCAAGUACUGGGGCGUGGCAGAGUCUAAACUUUGAUAAAGAAUAUCUCUUUGGACUUGAGACUUUAGUCUUAGCAACUUUACAGAUCUUCUUCAUGCACCAAGAGCUUGUAACAGUCCAAAGAGAAAGGAAAAAUUGAAAUCGCAUCAUAUGACACUAUUAAAGGGGGGGGGGGGGGGUACAAUGGUGUUUCGUGUAUUCAGAGUUGUUCACAGUGUUAAAGAUGGAUUCUCAUGCUAAACAUGGUAAAAAAUAAUUUAGAAGAAUGACUGAGAAUUUCUUCACAGGAGCCAGCCUGUGAUAAAAGACCCCAUUCAUGUAAGUACAAUUUUAUCAGAUUUCUGUAUUUUUUUGGAAAUCAGCACAUAAGUGAAGAUAUGUUAAUGGAAACAACACGAAACACGUCACGCCUCCAGGAGCUCGGCUUUUUCCGGAAAGAAUCGGAAAGCUGUAUUUUUCUUUUACAAAUAUGAUAAAACUAAAGACUUUUUGGAUAUAUGAAGAAUGCAGUACUUCUCUACAGGUACUCAAGAUAAACAUGAGAUUAGGGGAAACUGUAUGUUAUGUAUCCUAUAAAAUACUUUUAGAAUUACCACAAAAAAAGAGAAGGGGCAAAAAUGCCCCCUUAUGACUUAUAUACAGUAUUUAUAUCAUCUGACAGAGUUGUUAAUAUCACACUAAGAGUUGUGUAUAUCAGCAUGAUUGCAAAUGUGAUAUUGAUUUGAUGAACAGCUCAAUAAAGUUAAUAUUAAGUGACUUUCAUUUUACACAA